GAUGAACGCUGGCGGCGUGCUUAACACAUGCAAGUCGAACGGAAAGGCCCAAGCUUGCUUGGGUACUCGAGUGGCGAACGGGUGAGUAACUCGUGGGUGAUCUGCCCUGCACUUCGGGAUAAGCCUGGGAAACUGGGUCUAAUACCGGAUAGGACGAUGGUUUGGAUGCCAUUGUGGAAAGUUUUUUCGGUGUGGGAUGAGCUCGCGGCCUAUCAGCUUGUUGGUGGGGUAAUGGCCUACCAAGGCGUCGACGGGUAGCCGGCCUGAGAGGGUGUACGGCCACAUUGGGACUGAGAUACGGCCCAGACUCCUACGGGAGGCAGCAGUGGGGAAUAUUGCACAAUGGGCGCAAGCCUGAUGCAGCGACGCCGCGUGGGGGAUGACGGCCUUCGGGUUGUAAACUCCUUUCGCUAGGGACGAAGCGUUUUUGUGACGGUACCUGGAGAAGAAGCACCGGCUAACUACGUG
rnacentral:rRNA from 1 species